GACGAACGCUGGCGGCGUGUUUAACACAUGCAAGUCGAGCGGUAAGGCCCUUUCGGGGGUACACGAGCGGCGAACGGGUGAGUAACACGUGGGUGACCUGCCCUUAGCUCUGGGAUAAGCCUGGGGAAACUGGGUCUAAUACCGGAUAUGACUCCAUGACGCAUGUUGUGGGGUGGAAAGCCUUGUGCGGCUAGGGAUGGGCCCGCGGCCUAUCAGCUUGUUGGUGGGGUGAUGGCCUACCAAGGCGACGACGGGUAGCCGGCCUGAGAGGGCGACCGGCCACACUGGGACUGAGACACGGCCCAGACUCCUACGGGAGGCAGCAGUGGGGAAUCUUGCGCAAUGGGCGAAAGCCUGGCGCAGCGACGCCGCGUGAGGGAUGACGGCC
rnacentral:rRNA from 1 species